UGGCUACAGACCUGAGGUGACUCAUUA
rnacentral:piRNA from 1 species